rnacentral:rRNA from 1 species
CAGCCGCGCGGUAAUACCGGCAGCACGAGUGAUGACCGCUAUUAUUGGGCCUAAAGCGUCCGUAGCUGGCCACGCAAGUCCGACGGGAAAUCCGCGCGCUUAACGCGCGGGCGUCCGGUGGAAACUGUGUGGCUUGGGACCGGAAGAUCCAGAGGGUACGUCCGGGGUAGGAGUGAAAUCCCGUAAUCCUGGACGGACCACCGGUGGCGAAAGCGCUCUGGAAAGACGGAUCCGACGGUGAGGGACGAAAGCUCGGGUCACGAACCGGAUUAGAUACCCCUGUAGUCCCUGUCUCUUAUAC